UACGUAGGGGGCGAGCGUUGUCCGGAAUUAUUGGGCGUAAAGCGCGCGCAGGCGGUUUCUUAAGUCUGAUGUGAAAGCCCGUGGCUCAACCACGGAGGGUCAUUGGAAACUGGGGAGCUUGAGUACAGAAGAGGAGAGUGGAAUUCCACGUGUAGCGGUGAAAUGCGUAGAUAUGUGGAGGAACACCAGUGGCGAAAGCGGCUCUCUGGUCUGUAACUGACGCUGAGGCGCGAAAGCGUGGGGAGCAAACAGG
rnacentral:rRNA from 1 species